CUUCCUCGCCGACCCACACAUUGGCGGCUCCCCCCCCCCCCCCCCUCGUCUAAGCUUGAGGCAAUCCCCGCCCCUAGCCCUGCUCAAUCCAGCCCGGCUCCAUGGCCAACAGCAACCUCCCGCGCCGAAUCAUCAAGGAGACGCAGCGGCUUCUCAGCGAACCAGCUCCAGGGAUUAGCGCGUCGCCGUCCGAGGAGAACAUGCGGUACUUCAAUGUCAUGAUCCUUGGCCCGGCGCAGUCACCCUAUGAAGGUGGAGUUUUCAAGCUUGAGCUUUUCUUGCCUGAGGAAUAUCCAAUGGCUGCUCCAAAGGUUAGAUUUCUCACCAAAAUUUACCAUCCCAACAUCGACAAGCUUGGUAGGAUAUGCCUUGACAUUCUCAAGGACAAGUGGAGUCCAGCUCUUCAGAUACGCACGGUUCUGUUGAGUCUUCAGCAUCCAGGCACUGCUGAGUGCUCCAAAUCCAGAUGAUCCUCUCUCAGACAACAUUGCAAAACACUGGAAAGCAAAUGAAGUUGAAGCUGUUGAGACAGCGAAGGAGUGGACUGGCCUGUAUGCAAGUGGGGCAUGACAACCAAGCGUUGUUUUGGAUGUAAUAACACUGUCAUAGUUUGUGGGCCUUGAUUGAAUACAUUUGCUUGACAAGAGCAAAUUUGAGAUAUGUUGCAACUGGAAAAGUGUUCGAGUUAUGUCUUGUGGCUCUGGCUCCCUUCACUGCAGUGCACCUUUAGUCAAAGCAACUGUUGCCUGGCCUGUUUCUGUUUGAUCUUCGGUUACUUUUCCAGUUAUCUCGUCUGCUGUGCUCUGAGCAUUUGUGCUGUCUCAAACGAUUACAGGCUGUUCUUAAUUUCUGUUCUUUCCCCAGGAACACUUUUGGAGGCAUUUCUUAGCUUGUUGGAGAAUUGAUGAUAAACUACCUCGAAGAACCAACCAGAAUGCUGUUUUGCCAAUAGGUUGAUAACAUCUCCUAAUUAGUUUUGGGGAUACAUUGGUUCCGCGCUUUGUUUGUUGCUAGUAAUCUAUUACUUCUGUUUUUAAAUGUUUUUAAAUAGAUGUCAUUUUAGGAAUUUAAGUUUAUUCUUAAAUAGAUGCCAUUCUAGGUUUUUUUUAUUAAGUGUUCAUAUUAAAGUCUAUUAAAAAGUGGAGUUUUAAUUUAAUGAAUGUGGUGGGUUGGUGAUUUAUAUGU